CCUACGGGAGGCAGCAGUGAGGAAUAUUGGUCAAUGGGCGCGAGCCUGACGCAGCGACGCCGCGUGAGGGAUGAAGGUCUUCGGAUCGUAAACCUCUGUCAGCAGGGAAGAACGGUCACUGUGCUAAUCAGCAGUGAAUUGACGGUACCUGCAAAGGAAGCACCGGCUAACUCCGUGCCAGCAGCCGCGGUAAUACGGAGGGUGCGAGCGUUAAUCGGAAUUACGGGGCGUAAAGCGCUCGUAGGCGGUAUGUCAAGUCAAGGGUGAAAUCCCCGCGCUCAACGUGGGAACUGCCUUUGAAACUGGCAAACUGGAGUGUGUGAGAGGAUAGUGGAAUUCCAGGUGUAGGAGUGAAAUCCGUAGAUAUCUGGAGGAACAUCAGUGGCGAAGGCGACUAUCUGGCACAUAACUGACGCUGAGGAGCGAAAGCGUGGGUAGCAAACAGGAUUAGAUACCCCUGUAGUC
rnacentral:rRNA from 1 species